rnacentral:rRNA from 1 species
UCGAUGAAGCCGGGGCGUGAGCCAUCCGGUGGAGAGAUCACUAGUGAGAAUGAUGACAUGAGUAGCGACAAACAGGGUGAGAGACCCUGUCGCCGAAAGUCCAAGGGUUCCUGCUUAAAGCUAAUCUGAGCAGGGUAAGCCGACCCCUAAGGCGAGGCCGAAAGGCGUAGUCGAUGGGAACCAGGUUAAUAUUCCUGGGCCAGGAGGAUGUGACGGAUCGAGACUGUUGUUCACCCUUAUCGGAUUGGGUGGGCCGCUGAUCGGUUCCUGGAAAUAGCCCUCCAUGAGAUCGUACCCUAAACCGACACAGGUGGACUGGUAGAGAAUACCAAGGCGCUUGAGAGAACGAUGUUGAAGGAACUCGGCAAAAUACCUCCGUAAGUUCGCGAGAAGGAGGCCCGGUUUCUAGGCAACUGGAAGCUGGGGGCACAAACCAGGGGGUGGCGACUGUUUACUAAAAACACAGGGCUCUGCGAAG